GACGAACGCUGGCGGCGUGCUUAACACAUGCAAGUCGAACGAAGUGGCGAACGGGUGAGUAACGCGUAAUCAACCUGCCCUUCAGCGGGGGACAACAGUUGGAAACGACUGCUAAUACCGCAUACUGAAGGAGGGGAUUGCGUCUGAUUAGCUAGUUGGAGGGGUAACGGCCAACCAAGGCGAUGAUCAUUAGCCGUUCUGAGAGGAGGAACGGACACAUUGGGACGGAGACACGGACAAGAGUCGUACGGGAGGCAGCAGUGGGGAAUCUUCGGCAAUGGAGGAAAGUCUGACGGAGCAACGCCGCGUGAGUGAUGACGGCCUUCGGGUUGUAAAGCUCUGUUAAUCGGGACGCGGUACCGGAAUAGAAAGCCACGGCUAACGACGUGCCAGCAGCCGCGGUAAUAC
rnacentral:rRNA from 1 species